UACGGAGGGAGCUAGCGUUGUUCGGAAUUACUGGGCGUAAAGCGCGCGUAGGCGGCUUUGUAAGUUAGAGGUGAAAGCCCGGGGCUCAACCCCGGAAUAGCCUUUAAGACUGCAUCGCUUGAAUCCGGGAGAGGUGAGUGGAAUUCCGAGUGUAGAGGUGAAAUUCGUAGAUAUUCGGAAGACCACCAGUGGCGAAGGCGGCUCACUGGACCGGCAUUGACGCUGAGGUGCGAAAGCGUGGGGAGCAAACAGG
rnacentral:rRNA from 1 species